rnacentral:sRNA from 2 species
AUGUACCGCUCGUACGCGCCGGUUCAUGCGCGUCGGCCGCGCCCACACCUGACACUGCUCGCUACGCUUUGUCGGCC